GUUCCUAUCGAUUAGUGGUCAGAUCAUCACGUUGUGGUUUGGGCAUCCGCUCAAGCAGAACCGUGGGGACGGGGGCUCGAAUCCCCCUAGGAACA